UUUUAAGUUUUUGUUGGAACCAUUUUUCUUCUCUUUUUGUUGCUACGGGAAUAGUAAUCAAAUAUGGGGUUGGAGAAGAUGAAGUCUUCCCACACCCCUUGAUUGCUCAGCACACCCUUGUGGGCCUCCAUCAUUUGGGCCUAGAGGUCUAUUUUUGUCUUUUUUCUUUUUUUAUUUAUUAUUUUCUUAUUAUUGAUUUAUCUUUGUUUUUUCUUUUAUUUCCUUUCAUUAUUUUUGUUACAUUUUUUAUUGCUUUAUUUUUUUUUAUUGUAUUUUUAGUUGAUGCAUAAUUGUUAAUCCAAAAAGACAAAAUGACUAUUAAAAUUAACAUUUCAAAAAUACUAAAAUCAAAGAUAAUUGAUCAACAUCAAGUAUAUUUUUCAAAAUCAUCCAAAUCCCUUUUCGUUUUAAACGCAAAUUCAAAACUUUGAUUCAACGUCGAGUAUUUUAUUAAAC
rnacentral:lncRNA from 1 species